UACGUAGGUGACAAGCGUUAUCCGGAAUUACUGGGCGUAAAGCGCACGCAGGCGGCGUGGUAAGUCUGAUGUGAAAUCUCCCGGCUUAACUGGGAGGGGUCAUUGGAAACUGCCGAGCUUGAGGCGAUGAGAGGGGUGUAGAAUUCCCGGUGUAGUGGUGGAAUGCGUAGAUAUCGGGAGGAAUACCAGUGGCGAAAGCGGCACCCUGGCAUUAGCCUGACGCUCAUGUGCGAAGGCGUGGGGAGCGAACGGG
rnacentral:rRNA from 1 species